CGCGAACGUUGGCGGCGUGCCUAACACAUGCAAGUCGUGGGGCAGCAGGCUACUGUCUUUUGGCAGUAGUGCUGGCGACCGGCAAACGGGUGAGUAACACGUAGCUUACCUACCCAUAGGUUGGGGAUAACAUCCCGAAAGGGGUGCUAAUACCCAAUAAUGAGGAGACUCCAAAGCCCUUAUGGGCGCCUAUGGAUGGGGCUGCGUCCCAUCAGCUAGUUGGUGAGGUAAUGGCUCACCAAGGCUACGACGGGUAACCGGUCUGAGAGGAUGACCGGUCACAGUGGGACUGAGACACGGCCCGCACCCCUACGGGGGGCAGCAGUGGGGAAUAUUGGGCAAUGGCCGAAAGGCUGACCCAGCAACGCCGCGUGGUGGAUGAAGCCCUUCGGGGUGUAAACACCUUUUCCGGGGGAAGAUAAUGACGGUACCCCAGGAAUAAGGGACGGCUAACUACGUGCCAGCAGCCGCGGUAAUACGUAG
rnacentral:rRNA from 1 species